AUUGAACGCUGGCGGCAUGCCUUACACAUGCAAGUCGAACGGUAACGGGCCUUCGGGUGCCGCCGAGUGGCGAACGGGUGCGUACUACAUCGGAACGUGCCCGAUCGUGGGGGAUAACGAGGCGAAAGCUUUGCUAAUACCGCCUACGAUCUCCGGCUGACAGCGGGGGACCGCAAGGCCUUGUGCGACCGGAGCGGCCGAUGGCAGAUUAGGUAGUUGGUGGGAUAAAAGCUUACCAAGCCGACGAUCUGUAGCUGGUCUGAGAGGAUGAUCAGCCACACUGGGACUGAGACACGGUCCAGACUCCUACGGGAGGCAGCAGUGGGGAAUUUUGGACAAUGGGCGCAAGCCUGAUCCAGCCAUGCCGCGUGCAGGAUGAAGGCCUUCGGGUUGUAAACUGCUUUUGUACGGAACGAAAAGCCUUCUUUUAAUACAGGAGGGUCAUGACGGUACCGUAAGAAUAAGCACCGGCUAACUACGUG
rnacentral:rRNA from 1 species